rnacentral:lncRNA from 1 species
UCUAUUUCACUAUCAUGUUUGUAGGGACUUGAACAGUUCAAGUCAAGUUGGUUAAAAAUAAUUUUGAAACUAAACUAACUUAAAUUAAUUUUUUAAAAUCAAAAUUAAAAUUGAACUAAUAUGAAAAUAGAUUCAAAAUAAUUAGAAAAAUUAAUUUAAUUUGAUUUGAUUUAUUAGUUCCACCCGAAGAUCGAAGAUGAGCCAAAGCUGUCAUGGCUUGCAGUGGAG